rnacentral:rRNA from 1 species
GGUUAAGCGACUAAGCGUACACGGUGGAUGCCCUGGCAGUCAGAGGCGAUGAAGGACGUGCUAAUCUGCGAUAAGCGUCGGUAAGGUGAUAUGAACCGUUAUAACCGGCGAUUUCCGAAUGGGGAAACCCAGUGUGAUUCGUCACACUAUCAUUAACUGAAUCCAUAGGUUAAUGAGGCGAACCGGGGGAACUGAAACAUCUAAGUACCCCGAGGAAAAGAAAUCAACCGAGAUUCCCCCAGUAGCGGCGAGCGAACGGGGAGCAGCCCAGAGCCUGAAUCAGUGUGUGUGUUAGUGGAAGCGUCUGGAAAGGCGCGCGAUACAGGGUGACAGCCCCGUACACAAAAAUGCACAUACUGUGAGCUCGAUGAGUAGGGCGGGACACGUGGUAUCCUGUCUGAAUAUGGGGGGACCAUCCUCCAAGGCUAAAUACUCCUGACUGACCGAUAGUGAACCAGUACCGUGAGGGAAAGGCGAAAAGAACCCCGGCGAGGGGAGUGAAAAAGAACCUGAAACCGUGUACGUACAAGCAGUGGGAGCACGCUUAGGCGUGUGACUGCGUACCUUUUGUAUAAUGGGUCAGCGACUUAUAUUCUGUAGCAAGGUUAACCGAAUAGGGGAGCCGAAGGGAAACCGAGUCUUAACUGGGCGUUAAGUUGCAGGGUAUAGACCCGAAACCCGGUGAUCUAGCCAUGGGCAGGUUGAAGGUUGGGUAACACUAACUGGAGGACCGAACCGACUAAUGUUGAAAAAUUAGCGGAUGACUUGUGGCUGGGGGUGAAAGGCCAAUCAAACCGGGAGAUAGCUGGUUCUCCCCGAAAGCUAUUUAGGUAGCGCCUCGUGAAUUCAUCUCCGGGGGUAGAGCACUGUUUCGGCAAGGGGGUCAUCCCGACUUACCAACCCGAUGCAAACUGCGAAUACCGGAGAAUGUUAUCACGGGAGACACACGGCGGGUGCUAACGUCCGUCGUGAAGAGGGAAACAACCCAGACCGCCAGCUAAGGUCCCAAAGUCAUGGUUAAGUGGGAAACGAUGUGGGAAGGCCCAGACAGCCAGGAUGUUGGCUUAGAAGCAGCCAUCAUUUAAAGAAAGCGUAAUAGCUCACUGGUCGAGUCGGCCUGCGCGGAAGAUGUAACGGGGCUAAACCAUGCACCGAAGCUGCGGCAGCGACGCUGAUGCGUUGUUGGGUAGGGGAGCGUUCUGUAAGCCUGUGAAGGUGUGCUGUGAGGCAUGCUGGAGGUAUCAGAAGUGCGAAUGCUGACAUAAGUAACGAUAAAGCGGGUGAAAAGCCCGCUCGCCGGAAGACCAAGGGUUCCUGUCCAACGUUAAUCGGGGCAGGGUGAGUCGACCCCUAAGGCGAGGCCGAAAGGCGUAGUCGAUGGGAAACAGGUUAAUAUUCCUGUACUUGGUGUUACUGCGAAGGGGGGACGGAGAAGGCUAUGUUGGCCGGGCGACGGUUGUCCCGGUUUAAGCGUGUAGGCUGGUUUUCCAGGCAAAUCCGGAAAAUCAAGGCUGAGGCGUGAUGACGAGGCACUACGGUGCUGAAGCAACAAAUGCCCUGCUUCCAGGAAAAGCCUCUAAGCAUCAGGUAACAUCAAAUCGUACCCCAAACCGACACAGGUGGUCAGGUAGAGAAUACCAAGGCGCUUGAGAGAACUCGGGUGAAGGAACUAGGCAAAAUGGUGCCGUAACUUCGGGAGAAGGCACGCUGAUAUGUAGGUGAAGCGACUUGCUCGUGGAGCUGAAAUCAGUCGAAGAUACCAGCUGGCUGCAACUGUUUAUUAAAAACACAGCACUGUGCAAACACGAAAGUGGACGUAUACGGUGUGACGCCUGCCCGGUGCCGGAAGGUUAAUUGAUGGGGUCAGCGCAAGCGAAGCUCUUGAUCGAAGCCCCGGUAAACGGCGGCCGUAACUAUAACGGUCCUAAGGUAGCGAAAUUCCUUGUCGGGUAAGUUCCGACCUGCACGAAUGGCGUAAUGAUGGCCAGGCUGUCUCCACCCGAGACUCAGUGAAAUUGAACUCGCUGUGAAGAUGCAGUGUACCCGCGGCAAGACGGAAAGACCCCGUGAACCUUUACUAUAGCUUGACACUGAACAUUGAGCCUUGAUGUGUAGGAUAGGUGGGAGGCUUUGAAGUGUGGACGCCAGUCUGCAUGGAGCCGGCCUUGAAAUACCACCCUUUAAUGUUUGAUGUUCUAACGUUGACCCGUGAUCCGGGUUGCGGACAGUGUCUGGUGGGUAGUUUGACUGGGGCGGUCUCCUCCUAAAGAGUAACGGAGGAGCACGAAGGUUGGCUAAUCCUGGUCGGACAUCAGGAGGUUAGUGCAAUGGCAUAAGCCAGCUUGACUGCGAGCGUGACGGCGCGAGCAGGUGCGAAAGCAGGUCAUAGUG